rnacentral:rRNA from 1 species
UGGGCGUAAAGCGAGCGCAGGCGGAAAAAUAAGUCUAAUGUGAAAGCCCUCGGCUUAACCGAGGAACUGCAUCGGAAACUGUUUUUCUUGAGUGCAGAAGAGGAGAGUGGAACUCCAUGUGUAGCGGUGGAAUGCGUAGAUAUAUGGAAGAACACCAGUGGCGAAAGCGGCUCUCUGGUCUGCAACUGACGCUGAGGCUCGAAAGCAUGGGUAGCGAACAGGAUUAUAUACCCUGGGUAGUCCAUGCCGUAAACGAUGAGUGCUAAGUGUUGGGAGGUUUCCGCCUCUCAAUGCUGCAGCUAACGCCUUAAGCACUCCGCCUGGGGAGUACGACCGCAAAGUUGAAACUCAAAGGAAUUGACGGGGGCCCGCACAACCGUUGGAGCAUGUGGUUUAAUUCGAUGCAACGCGAAGAACUUUACCAGUUCUUGACAUCUAGUGCAUUCUGUAGAGAUACGGAGUUCCCUUCGGGGAACGAUAAGACCAGGUGGUGCAUGGCUGUCGUCAGCUCGUGUCGUGAGAUGUUCGGGUUAAGUCCCGCAACGAGCGCAACCUUUGUUAUUAGUUGCCAGCAUUAAGUUGGCCACUCUAAUGAGACUGCCGGUGACAAACCGGAGGAAGGUGGGGAUGACGUCAAGUCAUCAUGCCCGUUAUGACGUGGGCUACACACGUGCUACAAUGGGCAGUACAACGAGAAGCAAGCCUGCGAAGGCAAGCGAAUCUCUGAAAGCUGUUCUCAGUUCGGACUGCAGUCUGCAACUCGACUGCACGAAGCUGGAAUCGCUAGUAAUCGC